UGGAAAUACCCAGAACUCCUAGGAAAGCCUUGCCAAAUGCUUGUUCAGACGCGGAAAUGUUUCAGAAUAUGAUCGCUAGGUCGAGAGGAAAUCCGAAGAGAACCAUGCACUAUCCCUCAUACAAACACACAAACUACCUCUCCCCUUGACUCCCUUCCCUGCCAGGCAUACCCGUGGCCUGCCCUGCCCAGGUGCUCGAGGCCCUGCCAGCGCGUCGGGGCCUCACACCUUGCGCGCGGCGGCGGUGGUGGCGGCGGCUGCGGUGGCGGCGACGAUGGCGGCUGUGGGGUCAGUGAGGGCCGGGAGACGCGCACACCAACACACUCCCUCGCUCCCUCCCGCCUCACACACACACCUGUUGGUAUCGCGCUCAGGUGUUUGUCCUCGCUUGCCGCUUCUUCGUGUGCUCCGCGUGUCUGUCCUCGUGUCCUCGCCCCGUGCUGCCCUUUACACUGCCGAGGGUGUGUCCUGGCAUGCCCUCGCCCCCGUGUGUGGUGUGUGCUGAGUGGUGUGCGGGGUGGUGAGCGCCAUGCAGGGUCACUCACCUCUUCUCUGAGCGGCACAAACACCGACGCUAUUAGACACAUUCUUCUUGGGUGAUGAGAGCCUGGCAAAGUCGCCCAACUCUGUUCUCAGCGACAUAACCAUUAUUCAACACCAUCCACUCCAUCACCACCAUCACCACCAUACUACGUCACACAUGCCUCAUUGGAGAAAUUAAUGAGCUAUACAAUUUAAAGCAAUGAAAUCUACCAAGACUGGAGUUGCGACAACAAAGUAGAAAGUAAUGUGAGUAAGUUUAAAAUAAAGACUGAACCUCACUGAAAAAGACGAAAAACUUUUCACGAUAAAAUGAUAAACGAUAAACGAUGAACUGAGAACCAAACACUUGUGACUAAACUCCCGGAUGGCAAAGGAAAAUAAAAAAAUCAGAAAAAGUAGUUUAUAAUAGAACAAAUCCACGCAACAACAAGUUAUGAACAAAUUGAUGAACCCCCCAAAACAUGACAGAAAAGAAAACAAAAACGACAAAGAAACAAACUAAUGACCAAACAAACAAGCCUGAGGCGCGGCUGCCCUAACCUGCCUCUACCAGGAUGAACACGGGCACCAAGGAGGCCAGGAAGGACGAGGCGCGGCGUGACUUGUGUGCGUGAGUGUGUGUGUGUACCCGAGGCGACGGGGAAGAAAGGCCACAAGCGCUCAGUCACGGUCCGCCCCCCCGCACGACCUCGCUAAACACACGCCCUGAAAGGACACCUUCGAUCCCACGCCCAGGUGAAUAAUGGCACCUGACUCACCUGUGUGCUAAACCAGGUGUGUAGAAACCCCUAAAAUCAGGUGAACAAACAUACAAGGUGUCCCUUCGCUCGCCUCAUUGACUAGAUACAUGGAAAACGUACCUAUUGAGUUUUCUUGUGAUAGUGUCAUUUGUGCGACCCAUAUGGGAACACAGGUGUUUUUUUGUGUGAUUGGGCGCGUGUGCAUUAUAUCAAAGUGAAUUUAUCAGUGAGUAAACUAGACUGGAAAAAAAAAUUAACGUGAGUGAAAAUAAAUUAUAUACUCCCUUGGAAAAACGAGCGUCAGAGUUGUUUGGUGCUGAGGAAUAAUGAACGCUUGCAUCACAGGCCCGGACUUUCAGGUGAAAAUGAAAACCGAAUGUCGGGGUAAAAAAAUAGAAACAUAGGAGCACAACUAUAAAUACGGAUUGCAAUUGCGAGUGAAACAUAUAUUGAAAAAACACCCGCACGUGCGCACUGAACGGAAACCAAACGAACCGAACGAACAUCAAAGACAAUGCGGAAUAAUAAUGAAACGCACGUCGUGAAAAUGAACUCCGAACUCACGCCAAAUACUAAAAAGGAAAACCAUACGUGCGGGAAAGUGAGGAAGUGAGAAAAAAAAGAGAGAAAAAGCCACAUCCGCCACACCACCCCACAUGCCCACCCUAGGGGACCUCACCCUCCCCCCUCAGCCCCCCACAAACACUAGGGACCUCGACUUGGCCCUCAACCUAACCACUCUUUGGACCACUCCCCAGAACGCCACUCCG